AGGUCAAACUUCGUGUGAGUGUGGUUUGGAGUGGAGCAUCGAGGGAGCUGCAAUGCUGCGACCCAUUGUGCCUAAAGUCCAUCAUAUCUCCGAGGUACAACUAUCAUCAACAAGUGAGAAUUGACAGGUCAUCGAGGGAGAGUUGGUACGCCAUCAAUGUUGAACAAGUGUCAUGCAGCAGUGAUGACCUUCAGGCAGUAGACAGGAUUUAAACUUAGCAAACAAACCAAUAUGCAAGGAUAGUUAAAAAUCAGAUAUUCAAAAAGUAUAAAUAAACAAUUGCAACAAAGCUUGGUGUGUAUAUCCCUACUUAAGAACAUAAAGGAGGAACACUGCAGUAGGUCUGUUGGCCCAUACUAGGCAAGUUCUUCACAAAUCCAACCCACCAACAGAAUAACCGCUGUGUGUGAUGAAUGGUUUUGAAAACCGACAAGUUAUGUAAAUUAAGAUGUUGAUGAGGCAAGCAUGUUUGUGGGAAGGGCUAGUUUGAUUGUUAUUCAUAACCAAUACUAAUGUCCUUCACUAAUGUCCUGUGUUAAUGCGAUGUAAACGAAAGACUUGUGUAAACAAAAUUGUAAAAAAUGAUGUCUAAGCAAAAUAAGAAAAGUGUUUGACAAACAAAAGUGUUGUGUAACCAAAAGAAUAAACAAGUGUUGUGUAAACAAAAACAACAGUGUUGUGUAAACAAAAGCUUCGUAAACAAAAGUGUUGCGUAAUAAAAAGGUAUGCAAAGAAUAGUGUUAAAGAACAAUCAUGAUUUAAUAAGAGGCAUCUUUGCCACACCCAUUUGUGUUAGGAUGGGUGGGUCCCAAACCCUGCUAGUGGUCCCAGCACCACCUGCACCACCUGCACCACCUGCAC